GAGAGAGGCGGCAAGCGUUGCGCGGAGUCACUGGGCGUAAAGGGUCUGUAGGCGGCUGGAGAAGUCGGCUGUCAAAUCCCGCGGCUCAACCGCGGAACUGCAGCCGAUACUCUCGAGCUAGAGGAUGGAAUGGGCGAGCGGGAUUCCUGGUGGAGCGGUGAAGUGCGUUGAUAUCAGGAAGAACGCCGGUAGCGAAAGCGACUCGCUGGUCUAUCCCUGACGCUGGAGGACGAAAGCCAGGGGAGCAAACCGG
rnacentral:rRNA from 1 species